GAACCUGUGUGAUAGAAACGUUAGAAAUGAUUUAGCGUUGAUGUAAGAGCAGUGUUGCUGACCUGAUGGGGGGAAGCAUGGACACCGUCCCAGGCUGCAUUUUGAAUAUGUCAUCUCACACCCUCUGGCCUCUGUGGUUUCUGAUGAGAAGUCAGCUGUUCAGCUUAUUGAUGAUCCCUUGUACUUGACAGGAUCAGAAGAAUGAUGGCCCCUGAAUGGCUCACUCAAUUAUUAUACCAUCUCGCAGUUAGAAGUAUUUUGCAAAACAUCAGGGAAAAGAGAUGAGAUUCCAUAUGUAGAAGCAUUUAUGCUAUUGCAUCAGAAGGAAAAGGAGUCAGAGGACUGCUACUUUAUGGUGCAGUAAUCUGAAAGAAAACCUAAGGGGAAACCUAUUCUAUAAGGGGAAGAGAGAGAAAAUGAGAGUGGGGACAUAUUGCUCCUGAACUUAAACCCCCCUCAGCCUAUCCAGCUCUCCCACUGGCCGAGCAGGCUGCACCAGCAGUUGUUCCAACUGCCUCCCCCAUGCCACCAACAUAUUCACCCCUUUCACCAUCUCCUGUUUCACCCACCCAUGGGGAUCAGAUAGAGUUUCUAUGGUAAUCCCCAGGGCACAGGGACCUAGUUUAUUAUCACCAUCUAAAACCCAACAGGGCACCCAAUUUGGACCAGUAGCCACAUUCACAGAAGGGCAAUUUCCCUGGCGCCUAUAUCCUGUAGGAGGCUUUAAUGCAAAUGGCCAACCAGCUGGGUUCCUAUGGAUGCACAAUCCAUUCUCCACUUCAGAUUUGCUUAAUUGGAAAAA